AUGCAGUUUCCUAUUCCUCCGAUCUGCAAGGCCAUGGCAGAGUCACUGCUUCUCCCUCUAGUGCGCGGCGUGGCUGGCAAGGCCGCAGACGCACUGGUUGAGACUCUGACCCGGAUGUGUGGCCUUGACGAUGACUGCCGAAAGCUGGAGCGCCAGCUGCUAGCCGUCGAGUGCAAGCUGUUCAAUGCUGAGGAGAGGAGCGAGACAAAUGGCUAUGUCAAGAGCUGGAUGAAGGAGCUCAAGUCUGUCGCCUACGAGGCCGACGAUGUCCUCGAUGAUUUCCAGUACGAGGCACUGCGCCGAUAG
rnacentral:rRNA from 1 species